UGAAGGCGUUCUCAUUGGUCUGCAAACAUUGGUAUGAAUCAACUCCAAUAAGUCUUUUGCUCUCCAUGCUUUGUUUGUCGAGAAUGGUAAUCGGUGUUGUUUGCCGAGGAGACAUCCUUCGCAUGAUUCAUUAUUCUCCUUCAAGCGUGGAAGAUCUCUCAUCAUGUUUUUCUUAUAUAGAAGCUUUAAGGCAUGUGUGUUAAAGUGGCCAAAUCUCCUAUGCCAAAGCCAUGAGUCAUCAACUUCUACCUUCAUGGCAAUAUUAGUUCCAGGUUUGAAGCUUAUAGGAAAGCUUCUAUUUCUCUUCUCCAUUUUUACUUGGCCAAUUUCUAUCAUUUUACUGUCAUAAAUUUUGCAUGUAUCUUUCUUAAAAUGAAGAGAAUAUUCAUUUUCCGUCAUUUGGCCAAUACUUAAAAGAUUCUCUUUAAGAUUAGGAACUAGUAAAACAUCCUUGAUGAAUUUCGUACCUUUCUUUGUCUCCACCAUGACAGUUCCUUUGCCUCGAGACUCCACUGUGGUGCCAUUUCCUAGCCGAACUUUGACAUUGACAGNNUUAUCAAUGUCUUUGAAGAUGCUUUGAUCUUUCGCCAUGUGAUUGUUGCAUCCACUAUCCAAGUACCAAAUUCCUUCUCCACUAGGAGAUUCUUGAUUGGCGUAAAAUAAGAGUUUCUCCUGAUUAUCUUCUUUCGCAAAGUUUGCUUGAUGUUUAUUUUUAUUACAACAAUACUUUUCUAUGUGACCAAAUUUCUUGCAAUAGUAGCAUUGAG
rnacentral:lncRNA from 1 species